rnacentral:rRNA from 1 species
UUUACGUCCCCUGCCCUUUGUACACACCGCCCGUCGCUACUACCGAUUGAAUGGCUCAGUGAGGCUUCCGGACUGGCCCAGAGAGGUCGGCAACGACCACUCAGGGCCGGAAAGCUAUCCAAACUCGGUCAUUUAGAGGAAGUAAAAGUCGUAACAAGGUCUCCGUUGGUGAACCAGCGGAGGGAUCAUUACAGAGUUGCAAAACUCCCUAAACCAUUGUGAACGUUACCUAAACCGUUGCUUCGGCGGGCGGCCCCGGGGUUCUCCCCGGGCGCCCCUGGGCCCCAUCGCGGGCGCCCGCCGGAGGUCACCAAACUCUUGAUACUUUAUGGCCUCUCUGAGUCUUCUGUACUGAAUAAGUCAAAACUUUCAACAACGGAUCUCUUGGUUCUGGCAUCGAUGAAGAACGCAGCGAAAUGCGAUAAGUAAUGUGAAUUGCAGAAUUCAGUGAAUCAUCGAAUCUUUGAACGCACAUUGCGCCCGCCAGUAUUCUGGCGGGCAUGCCUGUUCGAGCGUCAUUUCAACCAUCAAGCCCCCGGCUUGUGUUGGGGACCUGCGGCUGCCGCAGGCCCUGAAAAGCAGUGGCGGGCUCGCUGUCACACCGAGCGUAGUAGCAUACAUCUCGCUCUGGGCGUGCUGCGGGUUCCGGCCGUUAAACCACCUUCAUAACCCAAGGUUGACCUCGGAUCAGG